GAAAGUCACGCCCACGGCCACCAUCAAGGCGGGGGCGGAUGCGAUGGCGA
rnacentral:sRNA from 1 species